ensembl:lncRNA
CGCUGUUAAACCGCCUCCUCCUCCCCCCGCACCUGGGCGAAACUAGAGAGAGCAGGGCGGGCCCGAUCUCACCUACCUUCCCUUCUCCGGCCCAAAUAUAGCUUCUUCCGGCGGCCCGGCAGGGAAACGAGCCCGGAUGGGUGGUGGGAGCGACCCGAGGCGCGGUCGGUGCUGAGGAAGAGGGGGUGAAACUGCGCGGCCCGGGGGCGUCGGAAGGGGACGGCCACCCCCGCCGAAGGGCAGAGAGAGUCACUGAGAGACGGCCCCGCGCAUCGCCACUGCGUCUGCCCUCAUCUCAUGGCCGACGUGCCCUGCCCUGUUGUCAGCGCUCAGGGGGUGUUCGGGGUCCCCUCUGUGGUCGUCCUCCCGCAGGCUGAGGAGUUGAGGAUCAGUGUUGCUCAGAUCCAAUAAACUGUUCCAUAAACACCGAAGCCCUUAACAGAGAUCCUGAUAAUCCCUCAGGGAAAAAAAAAAGAAAAGAAAAGAAAACAAAGACCCAAACUAGAUCACAGAUGGACAUAGAGCCCACUUUAUUAAGGAUCUUCUUCUUCUACACGUGUAUUUCAAAGACAGUGUGGUAAACUCCGCUCUAGGUCACUCUGCUUUAGGCCUGCUCUGGAGGGGGCUGCCCUGGCACCAGGGUAUGAGCUUUCCUCAUCCAGAAAGUGCAGUCAGCAUCUCAGAACACAAAAUGGUGGGCAGUGUGAAAGUAGAGGAGGAAAGGCAGGAAAGGCUGCUUUUAGAAUUGCUUUCCAAACUGUGACAGUGAUGCCAAAGCGUAAGACAAAAGGUAGGCAGGGAAUACCAAAAGCAUUUUCUGAUAGAUGUGUUUUUUUAUAAUGUAUUAGUUUAUUCGAUUAAAAAACAAACAAGCACCUGGAUCUUUCAGAAAGAUAUAGCAGUGUCCUGGAAACCAAGUGGUUUUAGUGAAAGAGAAAACCAGAAUGACGUGCUGCAUUUGUGAGAAAUCAAUGAAAUUUCCAAAGACAGUCGAAACUUCCUCCUGCCAGUGUUUACAUUGGCUGUACAAUACAAACACGUUGCCACUCCUUUUUAGGUGCAGACCUCGGAUAAUGAAACUGUUUAGAACCUUUGUGUGUUCUGAAAAGUAAGCUAUCUCUGUGAUCGUGUCUCUGCACAGCUGUGUUUGUGCUGCAUCCUGGGUUUUGUAUUCACUGUGGUCUACGGGGCUCUGCUGAAUUCAAACGGGAGCUGUCUCCUAUGGGUCCCAGCUAAAUGAGCAUUCUCUGGGGCUCGGUACAGCCUGCUUGAGACCCUUCCAGAAUUUUCUUCCCCCCCCCCCAAGAUGAGGAGUUCCACCACCUCCAAACUGCCUCCAAACUCUGGACAGGUCUUUUACAAAGCCACCACCUUCAGUCUCUGAAGAUGGAACAGACUUAGGAUAGUUGUGUGGCCUGAGGAAGCCUGAAUCAGUGUAUUUUGACCUUUUGGGGUGACUCAUUUCGUGCUGGCUGAACGAUCAGCAAUAGGAAGCCGUACCAUAACUGCAGUGAAAAGAUAGGUGCACUGUAUUGCUUUCAGCAUUUGAUUUUGCCCCAAUUUGCAGAACUAAUGCAGAUUUCGUUAUCUUUAUUUCCUCAGCUUUCCAAAUAGAAUGAAGUUGUUGUUUAUGUGUAUUGGCAUUGCUCAGUAUCUUAGAAACAGAGGGAAUUGCUCUCCAUGAUGUUGUUCCCCAGCAAAGCCUUGGGAAUAGGGGACCAUCCUCAAUAGCAUGAAUUUUAAUCUCUUUCCAGGUUAUUUUGAGGGAAGCUUCUCCAUAGAAUCCAAGCCAGUGGAGCAGGCAUAUGUUUAAAAAGAUCUGUUUGGAGACUUAAGUUAGUUCACUUCAGAACUAAACUUCAAGAGCCAUGGAGGCCAGCGGGAGGUUUUCCAUUGACUUCAGUGAACUGUGGAUCAGGUCUGAGGAGAUAAAUCCAGCUCUUUCAGAAGCCGGGAAAGUCGCAAGAAUCUGUGAGUCACUCCUGAAGCACCAGGA